GGUCGUAGCUCAGUGGUAGAGCACUUGCCUCGCACAUGUGAAGUACUAGGUUUGAUUCUUAGCAUCA
rnacentral:tRNA from 1 species